AGGGGGGGAAGCGAAGCCCUAAGAUGGGCGGAGAGAAGCAGAUGUGGAGGUGAUGGCGGAGACCCAGAUAUAAGCAGGUCAGACAGGAAAAGAAAGAAGGUGAAACAAGCAGGGAGUCUCGCCGAUCUGAGGGUGCAGGAGGGUGGAAUCCUGCCUCGGAGUGGAGGCCUCCUCUGCCGCGGUGAGGCACGUGCUUCCGAACCUGUGAUCACUGUCUAACCAGUCAGUGAAGCGUGGAAACGAAACUGCAAACAUUCCCUGCUCUCUGAUUCAGGAGAGUCACUCUGGAGGCCUCUGUGCUGGCACAGCAAUAAAGAGUUGGCACCACA